AUUCAGGCUUCCCAAACCUGGGAGCCAGAUGAUCUCCUAACUCUGGCCUUGCAUCCACUGUGAUGACCCCGGCUCCCUUCUCCCCCACACCCUGCCUCCCUCUGCUCAUGGCCCCUUGCCACACAGAUGGACAUCGUGGAUGCCGAGCAGGAGGCACCGGUGGAAGGCUGGAUUGCAGUGGCAUACGUGGGCAAGGAGCAGGCGGCCCAGUUCCACCAGGAGAAUAAGGGCAGUGGCCCGCAGGCCUAUCCCAAGGCCCUGGUCCAGCAGAUGCGGCGGGCCCUCUUCCUGGGAGCCUCUGCCCUGCUUCUCCUCAUCCUGAACCACAACGUGAUCCGAGAGGUAAAUCGGACCAGCCCAUGAGGGUAAGCAAGCUGGGGAAAGGGGGACCCAGGCCUGCUGACCUCCUUGUCUCCCUGCAGCUGGACGUAUCCCAGCUUCUGCUCAGGCCAGUGAUCGUCCUCCAUUAUUCCUCCAACGUCACCAAGCUGUUGGAUGCACUGCUGCAGAGGACCCAGGUCACAGCUGAGAUCACCAGCGGAGAGUCCCUGUCUGCCAAUAUCGAGUGGAAACUGACCUUGUGGACCACCUGUGGCCUCUCCAAGGAUGGCUAUGGAGGAUGGCAGGACUUGGU
rnacentral:sRNA from 1 species